UACGAAGGGGGCUAGCGUUGUUCGGAAUUACUGGGCGUAAAGGGCGCGUAGGCGGCCGGCCAAGUCGGGGGUGAAAGCCUGUGGCUCAACCACAGAAUGGCCCUCGAUACUGGACGGCUCGAGACCGGAAGAGGUUGGUGGAAUUGCGAGUGUAGAGGUGAAAUUCGUAGAUAUUCGCAAGAACACCGGUGGCGAAGGCGGCCAACUGGUCCGGAUCUGACGCUGAGGCGCGGAAAGCGUGGGGAGCAAACAGG
rnacentral:rRNA from 1 species